CUAAUUCCUACUGCAGAGUGUCUGCAGAUUUAUAGAGCUAUUGCUAUACUAUAGCAAUAGUAUUGGCCACAAAACAAUAUUGGCUACAGGAUACACUUACAACUAUACCUAACAGUUUCAAGCCAGAGAGAAUGUUCCCGGGAACGUCAGUAGAAUCUCAUUUCCUAGUUGGAAGGUGUUGAAUGACUUACAGCUUCUGACAUUGGUGCCAGCAGAUAAUUCCUAAAAACAUAGGUUUUCAAAGCACCAUGCAGACAUCAUUCUUCCCCCACCCCCUGCAGGGAUGGAGAACUGGAUGCAAUGACUUUAUUUUCAAUAUGAAGAAGAUGGUCUUCAAGAGGAAAAGGUGCAGAGAUGUGAACUGAUUUUCCCAGUGACACCAGAACAAUGCCAUACCAGCAUGCAAAGAACACAACUGCAAUGAAGAGGUGUUCUGAAACCCACCCCUGCUGCCCCCAGGCCACCUUGGGGAAGGUCAGAGCACACCUGAUGAGCCAGGAGACUGCACAUCAGUGGCCUCAUUAACCCUAAAAGGUGCAGCUGUAGGAGGCCCUGCCCAGGAAGCUUCUGUUUCUCCCACCAAGGCUUUGCAAUUUUCAUUCGUAGAUGUGGCUGGAAGGCAGAUGCAUCACUGAACAAUGAGGUGGCUGUGCUGUGAAGGUAACACGUUCCUGCUGCUGCAGUGCUGCCUGACAGCUUCCACUUGCAAUACGCCGAGCCAAGAUGCGUACAAGUCCUGUCUGGCUCUGCUCCUUCCUUAUGGCCUGAUUCAGAGGGAGGAGGAGAGAGGAAUAAUUAUGCCAAGACAAUGUGUUUGGCAAGAGACUGCUGUCUUCCUCCCAUAACAACUACAUGAAGUGUUUGUAAGUGAGCAGGAGUAUUUUUUUCCUAUUCAGGCAUCUUCCUUUCUCUGGAUCCUUUUCUGCAGCGGGGAUUAAGCAGAGUGUGUUUUUCUGCUUCUCAUCAGGAGCACCAAAGCUAGGACUGGUGUUUCCAAAACUACGGGGAUGUUUUUGCGGGGCAGGACGCUGGCUGUGGAAGACCUGACAAAGCACAGCCAGCUGACUUGGCUAUCCACCUUAUGCCAGGCUGAAUAGAAAUAGCUGAAGCAUCUGGCCAUCUUUCAGAAGUGCCAUCCUUCUGAGUGACAGCUUGAAGCUGAAUCCAGCACGGGGGGUUGAGGGGGGAGAGAAUCAGAGCUGUGCUGGGUGUAGCGGGGAGCAAAGCCAUAGGGAAAGGCUCUGCUGGUGCAGGAGGUGACUUGGGAGGGAGAGCAGAGGCACGGGAAAACUUUUCUGGGCCUAACCUGCUGGUGUGGAACCUGCAUCCGAGCCUCCUCUAUCCUCUGUGCCCUCAGUGCUGGGCAGCUGGCGUGGGGCCACCAGAUCUAAUUCUGGAACACUUCUCAGGUUUUCUCGCUUUCCCGAAUUUCUCAGGAGAGGCACACAGGCAUCUAUUAACCCUGGGACAACUGCCGCUUGCCAGUCCCAGCUGUGCAUCUCAUUAGCAGGAACUGCCAGACUGCUGACCCUUUGGGCUGAGGAAAUACUCAUGGUCUGAUGACAUGACCCCACCUCCCAGCACCCGGCCAGUCGAGAAAUGGAAACAUCGCUGCAGCUGAGGCUGUGUGGACACGGAUCCGUUUGUUUGUUUGGCUUUCCUAACGCCUGGGCAGAGCUGCCUGGGCCAGCCAGUGGUUCAGAUGAGCCCCAAAGAGGGAUAAGGACCUUGAAGGUUGAUUUCCUUCCAAGCUGACCCAUCGGUUCCAAGAAACAGAAACUUUCCAUGCUGUAUAAAGCAACUGGCCCUCUACUUGUUUACAGGGUCUCGUGUAACUCCAUACAU
ensembl:lncRNA